GCGGGUGUAGCUCAGUAGGUAGAGCGUCAGCCUUCCAAGCUGAGGGUCGCGGGUUCGAAUCCCGUCGCCCGCU
rnacentral:tRNA from 1 species